UACGUAGGGACCGAGCGUUGUCCGGAUUCAUUGGGCGUAAAGAGCUCGUAGGCGGCUGUUCAAGUCGAACGUGAAAACUCGGAGCUCAACUCCGAGCCUGCGUUCGAUACUGGACGGCUAGAGUCUGGUAGGGGGAUCUGGAAUUCCUGGUGUAGCGGUGGAAUGCGCAGAUAUCAGGAGGAACACCGGUGGCGAAGGCGGCGACCUGGUUCAUUACUGACGCUGAGGCGCGAAAGCGUGGGGAGCAAACAGG
rnacentral:rRNA from 1 species